AUUGAACGCGCUGGGGAGAGGUGAAAGCAAUGAGAUGCCCUCAUGGGAUUUUUGUCAUCUUUGUGAUGUUGAACUUCAGAUGCUGCGAAAUCCAUGCUGAACGUGACUGAAUAAACCCCCAUGUUGGUGAACUACAAUACGUGUCCUGGUCCUAUAAUACACAACGCAGAGAGACUGAGAAGCGCAACAGCAGUCAGCGAGCGGACCAGUUACACUCAGACCACUGCGUAAAUUGGCCAUUUCAUCUGCAACAAACCUGUAUAGAAAACAGAUGCAAGGAAUGCAAUGGAAUAUAGCCUGCAUUAGACUUAGAUAU